rnacentral:ncRNA from 1 species
UGGCUCUGGAGAAGCUCGCUGUGUGCGGGGGCCGAAGGUGUAAGGGCGUAUGCCCGAUCUCUCAGGCAAAAGGACAGAGUGG